UCUCUGCUGGCUCAGAUGGUAAAGAAUCUGCCUGCAAUGCAGGAGACCCAGGUUCGAUCCCUGGGUCAGGAA
rnacentral:tRNA from 1 species